rnacentral:lncRNA from 1 species
CUCGAGUGAUCGUAUCUGGAAAUGCAUGACCAUGCUACGUGAGGUUAAGAGUUAACCUAGAAAGGGAUUCUGAAUCACAGCAUCGAGAAAGAGUGGUUGGCUUGGAGCUACACCAAAUAUCGUGAGGCAAAGGAAAUAGCAUGUACGUGAUAUUUUGAGGGUUCAUCUUAUAUGAUCUUCAUGGGCGUAUAGGAGUUAGUAUGUCUUGCUAGAGGCCAC